rnacentral:rRNA from 1 species
CCUACGGGAGGCAGCAGUGGGGAAUAUUGGGCAAUGUGCGCAAGCCUGACCCAGCAACGCCGCGUGAAGGAAGAAGGCUUUCGGGUUGUAAACUUCUUUUCUGAGGGACGAAGAAAGUGACGGUACCUCAGGAAUAAGCCACGGCUAACUACGUGCCAGCAGCCGCGGUAAUACGUAGGUGGCAAGCGUUCUCCGGAUUUAUUGGGUGUAAAGGGCGUGUAGGCGGGAAAGCAAGGCAGAUGUGAAAACGCAGGGCUUAACCCUGAGCCUGCAUUUGAAACUGUUUUUCUUGAGUGCUGGAGAGGCGAUCGGAAUUCCGGGUGUAGCGGUGAAAUGCGGAGAGAUACGGAGGAACACCAGUGGCGAAGGCGGAUUGCUGGACAGUAACUGACGCUGAGGCGCGAAAGCGUGGGGAGCAAACAGGAUUAGAUACCCCAGUAGUC